CUGUACUAACCCAUUAACCUUGGAAAAUCAACUCUGAUUUGAGUAAGACACUUUAAAAGGUUUUCUACUAGUUUCAACUGUAUUAACAACAAACGAUACAAGGUCAUCAGAGUGAUGGACGGGGUCCCUUACGAUGAGGCCAUCUGCGUUUAGUUAGCUGGUGACAGUAUGACAAAGGGCAGGUAUAUGAAGAUGCAUACCUGUCCAGGAAAGACCAUUCUCCCAGAAAAGAGAGUUGCAUUCAGGCUUGACAUGAGCAGUAAAACCACAUCAUUGGUACCAAAGGAUCUGAGAGAAUCCCGAGUGAGAUUCAUUUUCAUGGGCACUGGAGCUGAGCACACUUUUAGCUAG
rnacentral:lncRNA from 1 species